UGCGUAGGCGGGUUCUUAAGUCAGUGGUGAAAUCCUGCGGCUCAACCGUAGAACUGCCAUUGAUACUGAGAACCUUGAAUAUAAUUGAGGUAGGCGGAAUGAGUAGUGUAGCGGUGAAAUGCUUAGAUAUUACUCAGAACACCAAUUGCGAAGGCAGCUUACUAAAUUAUGAUUGACGCUGAUGCACGAAAGCGUGGGGAGCGAACAGGAUUAGAUACCCUGGUAGUCC
rnacentral:rRNA from 1 species